GUAACAAGGUUUCCGUAGGUGAACCUGCGGAAGGAUCAUUAAACAAGCCGGGUGAUGCCCGUGGGGCGGCCACCCAGAGCACCAAGCCACAUCUGUGUACGAUGCCGUGUUGCUUCCCCGGGCCAGCGGCCAUUGCCGCCCACCGGCGAGACACUGUGGUGGAUCGCCAGGUGGAGGCGCCCGGGGGUGGGGCUCCCGCCCCUUGAAACCAAACCACCGGCGCAUGGACUGUCUGAUCUGGGCCACACUGGACCCCCAAAGCUUGACAAGUUAAAACUUUCAACAACGGAUCUCUUGGCUCUCGCAUCGAUGAAGAACGCAGCGAAAUGCGAUAGGUAAUGUGAAUUGCAGAACUCAGUGAAUCAUCGAAUCUUUGAACGCACAUUGCGCCCUGGGGCAUUCCUCAGGGCAUGCCUGUCCGAGCGUCAGUGCAAACCACCUCACGGAAGUCGUGGUGCUGGCGGAGGUGGUGUCGGGUCGAGCUGCGAUGGCGGCCCGGUCCCCCACCCACCCCGCCGAAAUGUAUGGGGAGGAAUGCGCAUUGGCGGACCCGACUUGGUAGACGUCGCGCUUAUCGCGAAGCAGUCGCGGGGCCAUUGCUGUCCCUCCCGCCUCGAGCCCGUGACGGCAUCCCCGGGGCAUCUUGUCAGGUUUGACCUCGGAUCAGGUAGGGGUACCCGCUGAACUUAAGCAUAUCUAA
rnacentral:rRNA from 1 species